CUAUUAUUAGCGUAUUCUCCAAAGACAGCGGGGGCCAAGUGAUUGGCUUAAUCAUCCUGCCGAGGGGCGACAACAUACUUCGGUAUUUGGCGACCUUUUGGAGUAAAGGUCGUUUUUGUUUUUAAAG
rfam:Spirochaetes bacterium RIFOXYC1_FTLL_54_7 rifoxyc1_full_scaffold_3166, whole genome shotgun sequence.